GUAACAGGUAUAAUCUUUUACUAAAUGAAAUUAGAAGGACGAGUCACUGGGACCCACCAUCAAAAGGGCAAAAGGACAUGUGCAGUCUAAUAUUGAUGUACGUAAGAUUAAUGAUGAAGUACAAGAAUCACAGACUGAUAAACUGCUUGAUAUUAGGGAUCUUGCUACAGUCCUUCAAGAAUUAACAUCAAAUCAUCAGUUUGAUUACAGUGAUUGGUAUCAGUUGGGUCUGUACUUAGGAUUAUAUGAGCGUACACUAAAAGCAAUUGAAGAAGAAAGUAAAGGAAAGUUAAAGAAGUGUCUAAUAGAGUGUCUAUCUUCCUGGCUAAAGGGAGAGGAUGGAGUAAGAGAGACAAGAGGAGGUGGAUCAAACUGGAUAUCAUUAGUAGCAGCACUAGAUGCAAUGGGAGAGAGGGAGGUUGCUAAUGACAUUAGAAUAAAGUACUUGCAAUGAACUAACUUGUAAUUUCACUCUGUUUGGAUGUUAAAUUUAUUCAACGAGUGCAAAUUAUUAGUAUAA